GCGUGCCCGCCCGGCGCCCUCUAGGCUGGAAGGCUGCGGGCGUUCUACCGGUGCCAGCACUGACAGAGCGCGAGGAGCGCGGCGCGGGCCAGCCGGGACUGCUGGACAGCGGGGUCCAGGCUAGAGGGGAGCGGUCAGUGACGGCUGUGGAGGAGGGAGGCGCUGGGCGUCAGCGCGGGAGCCGAGCCUCUGGACCACUGAGCUGGGGGGCUGGCUGAGGUCCACCUCCUAACGAAUUAUUGGAAGGAAUAUGAGAAAAAAAUGUAGAGUCUUACCUCACUAUGUUGCUCAGGCUGGUCUCUAGACUCCUGGAUCCAAGCCAUCCUCCUGCCUCUGCCUCUCAAAGUGCUGAGAUUACAGUGUGAGCCACUGCGCUCGGGUUAAAAGGGAAUCUCACUGUCGUCCAGGCUGGAGUGCACUGCUGUGAUCUUGGCUCACUGCAACCUCCCUCUCCUGGGUUCAAGCGAUUCUUGUGCCUCAGCAUCCCAAGUAGCUGGGACUACAGCCACCAGUGGGGCUUCUCUGCCGUAAAGGAGAUAAAGGACAUGGAGAGGAAUGGCUUUGGAGUCCAACAGGCCAUUGUCCUGGGCUCCUGAACCUGGUCAGCCUACAAACAUUCACUGGCUACUUACCACACAAAGCCAGUCUCAGAGAAAUCUGUGAACAUCUGUAUGUAGGCUAUCGCUUUCUAGAUGUCACUAGUAGAGAAGUUUACACCUUGGGCUCUAAAAACAAUUCCAGAUUAUCAAGGUAUGUUAAGUACCAUGCCCAGACAUCUUAAAUAUACUUGUUCUGCUUCUGUUUUUACUAGUAGAUGAGUUAUUUUCUUUGCAAAGGCAAAUGG